AUUCGCACCGGAAAACUAGUUAGUUGAGAUGAUAUUCAAGUGUUCAUAUUUCGUCUGUUUGAAUUCGGACUGGUAAAAAAGCAAUUUUUAUGCGUACAUCAUAUUCAGAAGAUCUGACGUUGAAGAAAUUUACAAACAAUUCGAAAAAUCGUGAUUUUUGCGAGUCUGGAUUGUG
rnacentral:lncRNA from 1 species